rnacentral:rRNA from 1 species
AGAGUUUGAUCCUGGCUCAGAACGAACGCUGGCGGCGUGGAUAAGACAUGCAAGUCGAACGCUGACAUUCGGGUAGCAAUAUUUGAAUGUUGGAGUGGCGCAAGGGUGUGUAACACGUGGGCAAUCUGCCGUGAAGUCUGGGAUAACUCGCUGAAAGGCGAGCUAAUACCGGAUGUGAAUGCAAAUUCAAAGUUGGGGAUCGCAAGACCUGACGCUUCACGAUGAGCCCGCGGCCUAUCAGCUAGUUGGUGAGGUAACGGCUCACCAAGGCUAAGACGGGUAGCUGGUCUGAGAGGACGACCAGCCACACUGGAACUGAGACACGGUCCAGACACCUACGGGUGGCAGCAGUCGAGAAUUUUUCUCAAUGGGGGAAACCCUGAAGGAGCGACGCCGCGUGGGGGAUGAAUGGCUUCGGCCCGUAAACCCCUGUCAUUUGCGAACAAAUUGCAUUACCUAACACGUGAUGCAUUGAUUGUAGCGAAAGAGGAAGGGACGGCUAACUCUGUGCCAGCAGCCGCGGUAAUACAGAGGUCCCAAGCGUUGUUCGGAUUCACUGGGCGUAAAGGGUGCGUAGGCGGUGGGGUAAGUUUGACGUGAAAUCUCCGGGCUCAACCCGGAAACUGCGUUGAAUACUAUCCCACUCGAGGAAUGGAGGGGAGACUGGAAUACUUGGUGUAGCAGUGAAAUGCGUAGAUAUCAAGUGGAACACCAGUGGCGAAGGCGAGUCUCUGGACAUUUCCUGACGCUGAGGCACGAAAGCCAGGGGAGCAAACGGGAUUAGAUACCCCCGUAGUCC